AAAAUGGAAAUAUCAGAAAUGAAAAUGUUGGUAUGAGUAACGAUAAACAAUGUGAAAAACAUUGUCGCCUUAAGUUCAAGGUUUCCAAAACAAGGCUAAUCCGUUUUGGUGUGUAGUUAAUCGGUCUCUAAGAGAAAAACGAAAGUUUUGUUUCGAUGAGUUAAAAAGAAUAAUCUUUUUAUAUAUUUAAAGUGACAAAAUGUAAAUAUCAUUUUUAUUUUAUGGUUUAAAUAAAAGUCUUAUAGCAUUUUCUAGAAAAAGCUUAAAUAGCAACAAAACCGUACCCUAAACCGACACAGGUGAACAAGUUUAGUAAACUAAGGCGCUUGAGAGAAUUAUGUUGAAGGAACUCGGCAAAAUGACUCCGUAACUUCGGAAUAAGGAGUGACUUUAUGGGGGUAACCCUGUAGAGUUGUCACAAAAUCGGGGACAGCGACUGUUUAAUAAAAACACAGGUCUCUGCUAAUUCGUAAGAAGAUGUAUUGAGACUGACGCCUGCCCAGUGCUGCAAGAUUAAAGGAAAAGGUCUUUUGGCUUUGACCCUAAACCCCAGUAAACGGCGGCUGUAACUCUGACGGUCCUAAGGUAGCGAAAUUCCUUGGCAUUUAAUUGGUGUCCUGCAUGAAUGGCGUAACGACUGUCCCACUGUCUCCAGCACAAGCUCAGUGAAAUUGAAUUCUCCGUGAAGAUGCGGAGUACCUGCGGCUAGACGGAAAGACCCCGUGCACCUUUACUAUAGUUAUAUGUUGUGUUAAGAAUUUUUGUGUGUAGAAUAAGUGGAAGUUGUUUUACUGCUUUAGAAAGCUGUAGAUAAGGUAGGUUUUUGCACAAGCAAAUUACUUAAGCAUCUGUUGAAAUACCACUCUCAAAAGUUUUUAGCACUAACUAUUUAAGACAGCGUAUAAUGGGUAGUUUGACUGGGGCGGUCGCCUCCUAAAGAGUAACGGAGGCGUGCAAAGGUAACUUUGGGUUGAAAUUAUAACAACUCUAAAGCAUAAUAGUAAAUAGUUGACUGACUGUAAGAUUGACAAAUCAAGCAGGGACGAAAGUCGGUUAUAGUGAUCCGGUGAUUCUGUGUGGAAAAGGUCACCGCUCAACGAAUAAAAGGUACGCCGGGGAUAACAGGCUAAUCACCCUCUAGAGACCCUAUCGACGGGGUGGUUUGGCACCUCGAUGUUGGAUUAUCGCAUCCUGGAGCUGUAGGAGGUUCCAAGGGUUUGGCUGUUCGCCAAUGAAGGCGGUACAUGAUCUGAGUUUAGAACGUCGUGAGACAGUUUGGUCCCUAUCUACCGCAAGUGCAAAAAAUUGAAAGGAGUAAACCCUAGUACGAGAGGACCGGGAAAAGUAAAUCUCUGGUGAAUCGAUUGUUAUACCAAUAGCAUAGUCGAGUAGCUACAUUUAUAAUAAAUAAUCACUGAAAGCAUCUAAGUGAGAAAUUAACCUUAAUACAAAUUUUUUUUUAACUGUAAUAGAUUAUUACAUUGAU
rnacentral:rRNA from 1 species